rnacentral:rRNA from 1 species
GUAGGUGGCAAGCGUUGUCCGGAAUUACUGGGCGUAAAGCGCGCGCAGGCGGUUCUUUAAGUCUGAUGUGAAAGCCCACGGCUCAACCGUGGAGGGUCAUUGGAAACUGGAGAACUUGAGUACAGAAGAGGAUAGCGGAAUUCCACGUGUAGCGGUGAAAUGCGUAGAGAUGUGGAGGAACACCAGUGGCGAAGGCGGCUUUCUGGUCUGUAACUGACGCUGAGGCGCGAAAGCGUGGGGAGCAAACAGGAUUAGAUACCCUGGUAGUCCACGCCGUAAACGAUGAGUGCUAAGUGUUAGGGGGGUUUCCGCCCCCCUUAGUGCUGCAGCUAACGCAUUAAGCACUCCGCCUGGGAGUACGGCCGCAAGGCUG